GUAUUAGAAAACUACUCGGAUGCUCCAAUGACACCAAAACAGAUUCUGCAGGUCAUAGAGGCAGAAGGACUAAAGGAAAUGAGAAGUGGGACGUCCCCUCUCGCAUGCCUCAAUGCUAUGCUACAUUCCAAUUCAAGAGGAGGAGAGGGGUUGUUUUAUAAACUGCCUGGCCGAAUCAGCCUUUUCACACUCAAGAAGGAUGCCCUGCAGUGGUCUCGCCAUCCAGCUACAGUGGAGGUAGAGGAGCCAGAGGACACGGCUGAUGUGGAGAGCUGUGGGUCUAAUGAAGCCAGCACUGUGAGUGGUGAAAACGAUGGUAAGGACCCUUUACUGGAUGGGUGAGGGAGCCACAGCAGGCACUAGGGACUAAGCUUUAUUUUCCUCUCUUCCAGUAUCUCUUGAUGAAACAUCUUCGAACGCAUCCUGUUCUACAGAAUCUCAGAGUCGACCUCUUUCCAAUCCCAGGGACAGCUACAGAGCUUCCUCACAGGCGAACAAACAAAAGAAAAAGACUGGGGUGAUGCUGCCUCGAGUUGUCCUGACUCCUCUGAAGGUAAACGGGGCCCACGUGGAAUCUGCAUCAGGUAUGUGUAAACUCAUGGUUGUGAUGCUUUUUCCUCAGGUCCUGGGGACCUGGCCGCCCUCUGUCAGCAGUUUCUGACCUAAUAGUGUGAUACGAGGAGAGCUGUCGGGCCACAGGCAAGAGCCCUGCCAGUGGAUGAGGCCUGCCAUAGGUUCUAGUGCUGGGCUCUGCUGUGUGCCUUCCUCUUUGUCUCCCAGGGCAGUCGUGAGGAUUCAACGGAGGAUUUGAUUGUGCCAGUGCUUUGUAAAAGGUGUAGUGCUAUACAAAUAAAGAUGGCGGUUUGGCACCUGUAAGGUGAUAUUUUACAGCCAGACCAUGAAGUGGUGGUUUCUCUCAGCCUAAGGCUGGGAGAUAGAAGCAUCCCAGUAUUGCUGGCAGCAUCUCAGGGAGAGCUGGGAGAAGUGAGCUUGUCUGAGAGCCAUGGGCGCGGCUUGUGAUACUUUUGACCAGUGGAAUGCUGUGCCUUCAGGGUUCUCGGGCUGCCACGCC
rnacentral:sRNA from 1 species